UACAGAGGUCUCAAGCGUUGUUCGGAUUCAUUGGGCGUAAAGGGUGCGUAGGCGGCGCGGUAAGUCGGGUGUGAAAUCUUGGAGCUUAACUCCGAAACUGCAUUCGAUACUGGCGUGCUUGAGGACUGGAGAGGAGACUGGAAUUCAUGGUGUAGCAGUGAAAUGCGUAGAGAUCAUGAGGAAGACCAGUGGCGAAGGCGGGUCUCUGGACAGUUCCUGACGCUGAGGCACGAAGGUCAGGGGAGCAAACGGG
rnacentral:rRNA from 1 species